UACGGGGGGGGCAAGCGUUGUUCGGAAUUACUGGGCGUAAAGGGCUCGUAGGCGGCCAACUAAGUCGGACGUGAAAUCCCCAGGCUCAACCUGGGAACUGCGUCUGAUACUGGAUGGCUUGAGUUUGGGAGAGGGAUGCGGAAUUCCAGGUGUAGCGGUGAAAUGCGUAGAUAUCUGGAGGAACACCGGUGGCGAAGGCGGCAUCCUGGACCAACACUGACGCUGAGUGAGCGAAAGCCAGGGGAGCAAACGGG
rnacentral:rRNA from 1 species